GACUUCCAGGGGAGACAAAGGCUUGGGGCAGAAAUAGGCAGGGGCCAGGGGGCUGCUCGGAGCUAGUGCAGUCUAGGCAACAGGAUCAAGGCUCCUAACAUUGUUUUGGAUCAUAGAAAGUGAUAUUUGAUUCUGAUAAUGCUCAUUUGAUUCUAUAUACUUGUCAAAAUUCACUGAAUUUUAUACUUUAAAAUGAUAAAAUUAUUACAUGCAAAUUAUACUUUGAUUUUUCAAAGUAAGUAAAUUUCACUUUGAAAUGCAAAUUGCCUACUCCUCCACUGCUUUCCCCGCUGGAGAGCAAGGCCCUACAGGAGGGAAAGGCUCUGAAACUGCCUGCCACCCCCUAGGACCAGACCGAGGCCAUGCUGAUUCUUCCCAAGAGAACAACAGACCAGUGCUGCUCCUAAGGGUUUGUGCUGUGACAGGUGUCCCUGUCCCAGACUGCCUGAUUCCCUAAUCUAACUUCUACAAAACCCGGGUGGGGUGCGACCAAUGGCAGUAGGCCACCACAGACCCGAGCAGUGGCCAGAUGCCGUGCGGUGCUGGCCCUGGGACCUGGCUGGGGUUCACCAUAGCCAUAGGCACGCUGUGUACAGCUGCUGGUCAGGGGAAUGGGAUGCUUUCCAGCCCAGCCGAGGAGUGCAGCAGAGGUGUACAUGACACGGUGGAGCCCAACAUCUUGACCAGGGGACUGUUUGCUGUCCCCUCAUGAUGCAGUCCUGAGAAAGGCCUGAGCCUGCCUGGAUAGUCGACAGAGGAUCACCUGGGCCUGGCGUCUUUGUGACAUCAUGUUAUCAGCAAAAGAAAAAACAAUGGGGAAGAUUGUGCUCUGGGAGGACACCUGUGCCCAGAGAGUGAGAGAGCAAGAGAUGGGACUUGGAGAGGCUGAGAGGUGUCUCCCUGGGAGUGUUCAGGGGUCGGACACCCCUCUAUAGUGAGUCAGCAGCUUCGUACCUUGAACUCCUGCCACUGACGGAUGAUAGCGAACCCAAGGGUCUGGAGGCAUUUUACUCUGCUCCAGGGGCACAGCUUUGACCUGCCAUUAGUAGAGUGGUAGGCUGGUGGCUUUGAGUGAGUCCCAAAGUGAGGAAGAAAGCUGCAGCACACGCUGAGUCCAUGUGGCCUAGAAGACCCAGUGGUGCAGGCUCCAGCCCAUGAGAAAACCCGUCACUUGGAUGAGAUGACCCGUAAGACCCCGUAGUCCUAAGGUGUCUGUGCAGAUAGGGGUGUGCCUUGGGGCCUCUGGGAGGUCCCUGUGUGGGGAGCCGCCGGGUAGGAGCUAGACUUCUGGAACGAGCAGCCUCCUGUAGCCGACAGCUGUCCACAGUCCAGUGGGGCCAGGUGGAGACCACGUGCUCUCUCCAGCACUCCGUGACCAGCACACCUUGC
rnacentral:lncRNA from 1 species